AUUUUAAGAAAUUUUUGUGGUUACCUUAUCAAAAGUUCAACUGUUUAUUGCCACUACUUCUUUUUUAUCUGUCCUGGGGGUUGAACCUGGGGCUUUAGUACUGAGUUACAUCUCCAGCCCAUUUUUCACUUUUUAUUUUGAGACAGGUUCUUGUCAAGUCACCCAGGCUGGGCUUGAACUUGGCCUUCUCUUGCCUCAGUCUCCCAAGUAGCUAGGAUUACAGGGCUGGCCAUUGAACCCGGGACCUCACAUAUUCUAGAUGAAACUCUAUAUUUGGACCAACAACUCUAGUUCCUCCUCCUCUUCCAGUUCCUGGCC
rnacentral:lncRNA from 1 species